rnacentral:rRNA from 1 species
GACGAACGCUGGCGGCGUGCUUAACACAUGCAAGUCGAACGGUGAAGGGGCCUGCUUUUGUGGGCCCUGGAUGAGUGGCGAACGGGUGAGUAACACGUGAGUAACCUGCCCCCUUCUUCUGGAUAACCGCAUGAAAGUGUGGCUAAUACGGGAUAUUCUGGGUCUGUCGCAUGAUGGGUCUGGGAAAGAUUGCGCCUUUGGGUGUUUUUGGUGGGGGAUGGGCUCGCGGCCUAUCAGCUUGUUGGUGGGGUGAUGGCCUACCAAGGCGGUGACGGGUAGCCGGCCUGAGAGGGUGGACGGUCACACUGGGACGGAGACACGGCCCAGACUCCUACGGGAGGCAGCAGUGGGGAAUAGUGCACAAUGGGCGCAAGCCUGAUGCAGCGACGCCGCGUGAGGGAUGGAGGCCUUCGGGUUGUAAACCUCUUUCGCCAGUGAAGCAGGCCUGCUCCUUGUGGGUGGGUUGACGGUAGCUGGAUAAGAAGCGCCGGCUAACUACGUG